CGUUGAGGGGCUAGAGUAAAGUCAUUGAGGGGCUAGAGUACAGUCAUUGAGGGCUAGAGUAAAGUCGUUGAGGGGCUAGAGUAAAGUCGUUGAGGGGCUAGAGUAAAGUCAUUGAGGGGCUAGAGUAAAGUCAUUGAGGGGCUAGACUACAGUCAUUGAGGGGCUAGAGUAAAGUCAUUGAGGGGCUAGAGUAAAGUCAUUGAGGGGCUAGAGUAAGGUCAUUGAGAGGCUAGAGUAAAGUCAUUGAGGGGCUAGAGUAAAGUCAUUGAGAGGCUAGAGUAAAGUCAUUGAGGGGCUAGAGUAAAGUCAUUGAGGGGCUAGACUGAUGUCAUUGAGGGGCUAGACUAGCGUCAUUGAGGGGCUAGACUAGUGUCGUUGAGGGGCUAGAGUAAAGUCAUUGAGGGGCUAGAGUAAAGUCAUUGAGGGGCUAGAGUAAAGUCGUUGAGGGGCUAGAGUAAAGUCAUUGAGGGGCUAGAGUAAAGUCGUUGAGGGGCUAGAGUAAAGUCAUUGAGGGGCUAGAGUAAAGUCGUUGAGGGGCUAGACUAGCGUCGUUGAGGGGCUAGACUAGCGUCAUUGAGGGGCUAGAGUAAAGUCAUUGAGGGGCUAGAGUAAAGUCGUUGAGGGGCUAGAGUAAAGUCGUUGAGGGGCUAAAGUAAAGUCGUUGAGGGGCUAGAGUACAGUCAUUGAGGGGCUAGAGUACAGUCGUUGAGGGGCUAGAGUAAAGUCAUUGAGAGGCUAGAGUAAAGUCAUUGAGGGGCUAGAGUAAAGUCAUUGCGGGGCUAGAAUACAGUCGUUGAUGGGCUAGAGUAAAGUCGUUGAGGGGCUAGAGUAAAGUCGUUGAGGGGCUAGAGUAAAGUCAUUGAGGGGCUAGAGUAAGGUCAUUGAGAGGCUAGAGUAAAGUCAUUGAGAGGCUAGAGUAAAGUCAUUGAGGGGCUAGACUAGCGUCAUUGAGGGGCUAGAGUAAAGUCAUUGAGGGGCUAGACUAGCGUCAUUGAGGGGCUAGAGUAAAGUUGUUGAGGGCUAGAGGAGAGUCGUUGAGGGGCUAGAGUAAAGUCAUUGAGGGGCUAGAGUAAG
ensembl:lncRNA